rnacentral:rRNA from 1 species
GAUGAACGCUGGCGGCGUGCCUAAUACAUGCAAGUCGAGCGAACAGACGAGGAGCUUGCUCCUCUGACGUUAGCGGCGGACGGGUGAGUAACACGUGGAUAACCUACCUAUAAGACUGGGAUAACUUCGGGAAACCGGAGCUAAUACCGGAUAAUAUAUUGAACCGCAUGGUUCAAUAGUGAAAGACGGUUUUGCUGUCACUUAUAGAUGGAUCCGCGCCGCAUUAGCUAGUUGGUAAGGUAACGGCUUACCAAGGCAACGAUGCGUAGCCGACCUGAGAGGGUGAUCGGCCACAAUGGAACUGAGACACGGUCCAGACUCCUACGGGAGGCAGCAGUAGGGAAUAUUCCGCAAUGGGCGAAAGCCUGACGGAGCAACGCCGCGUGAGUGAUGAAGGUCUUCGGAUCGUAAAACUCUGUUAUUAGGGAAGAAAAAAUGUGGAAGUAACUAUGCACGUCUUGACGGUACCUAAUCAGAAAGCCACGGCUAACUACGUG